rnacentral:rRNA from 1 species
UACGGAGGGUCCGAGCGUUAAUCGGAAUUACUGGGCGUAAAGCGUACGCAGGCGGCUUGUUAAGCCAGAUGUGAAAUCCCCGGGCUCAACCUGGGAAUGGCAUUUGGAACUGGCAAGCUAGAGUUUUGUAGAGGGUGGUAGAAUUUCAGGUGUAGCGGUGAAAUGCGUAGAGAUCUGAAGGAAUACCAGUGGCGAAGGCGGCCACCUGGACAAAAACUGACGCUCAUGUACGAAAGCGUGGGGAGCAAACAGG